CAGCAGCAGCCGCGGUAAUACGUAGGUGGCAAGCGUUGUCCGGAAUUAUUGGGCGUAAAGGGCUCGCAGGCGGUUUCUUAAGUCUGAUGUGAAAGCCCCCGGCUCAACCGGGGAGGGUCAUUGGAAACUGGGAAACCUGAGUGCAGAAGAGGAGAGUGGAAUUCCACGUGUAGCGGUGAAAUGCGUAGAGAUGUGGAGGAACACCAGUGGCGAAGGCGACUCUCUGGUCUGUAACUGACGCUGAGGAGCGAAAGCGUGGGGAGCGAACAGGAUUAGAUACCCGCGUAGUCCCUGUCUCUUAUAC
rnacentral:rRNA from 1 species